rnacentral:rRNA from 1 species
UUUUCGUCUUUGCCUAAAAAUAGUAUUGAUUCUUGGAACAAGUGCAAAGAUGCUUUUAUCUCUAAGUAUUUUCCUCCCGCUAAGAUCAUCACUCUUAGGAACGAUAUUAUGAAAUUUAAACAAAUUGAUCAUGAGCAUGUUGCCCAAUCUUGGGAAAGAAUGAAAUUGAUGCUUCGUAAUUGCCCUACUCAUGGUUUGAAUUUAUGGAUGAUCAUACAAAAAUUUUAUGCCGGUUUGAACUUUGCUUCUAGAAAUUUCUUAGAUUUGGACGCGAGAGGCACGUUUAUGGAAAUCAUGUUGGGAGAUGCUACAAAACUUCUUGAUAAUAUUAUGGCUAAUUAUUCUCAAUGGCACACCGAAAGAUCUUCUAGUAAAAAAGUGCAUGCUAUAGAAGAAAUCAAUGUUUUGAGUGGAAAGAUGGAU